GUACGGGAGGCAGCAGUGGGGAAUUUUGCGCAAUGGGGGAAACCCUGACGCAGCAACGCCACGCGAGUGAUGAAGGCUUUCGGGUCGUAAAGCUCUGUCAGAGGGGAAGAAAUGGGACGUGCUAAUAUCACGUCUUCUUGACGGUACCCUCAAAGGAAGCACCGGCUAACUCCGUGCCAGCGGCCGCGGUAAUACGGAGGGUGCAAGCGUUGUUCGGAUUUAUUGGGCGUAAAGCGCGUGUAGGCGGUUUCUUAAGUCUGAUGUGAAAGCCCUGGGCUCAACCCAGGAAGUGCAUUGGAUACUGGGAGACUUGAAUACGGGAGAGGGUAGUGGAAUUCCUAGUGUAGGAGUGAAAUCCGUAGAUAUUAGGAGGAACACCGGUGGCGAAGGCGGCUACCUGGACCGAUAUUGACGCUGAGACGCGAAAGCGUGGGGAGCAAACAGGAUUAGAUACCCUGGUAGUCCA
rnacentral:rRNA from 1 species